AACGAACGCUGGCGGCAGGCCUAACACAUGCAAGUCGAGCGCGCCCUUCGGGGUUAGCGGCGGACGGGUGAGUACCGCCUGGGAACGUGCCCUUUUCUACCGUACCGUCUCGGGAAACUUAACGUCAUAACGCAUACGCCCAUAGGGGGUAAGAUUUCUCGGUACAGGAUCGGCCCGGGUUGGUUUCGGUAGUUGGUGGUGUAAUGGCCUAUCAACCCGACGAUGCAUAGCUGGUUGGAUAGGAGGACCAGGCGCACUGGGACUGAGACACGGCCCAGACUGCGACGGGAGGCAGCAGUAGGUAAUCUUAGAGAAGGGGGGCAAACCUGAUCAAGCCAUGCCGCGGGAGUGAGGAAGGCGGUAGUGUUGUAAAUCUGUUUCAGAUGGAAAGAGAAUGACGGUACCGGCAGAAGAAGCCCCGGCUAACUCCGUG
rnacentral:rRNA from 1 species